CAUUAAGAAGCUAAAUAGGAACAUAGCGUCAGCCUUUUAAGCUGAAGAUUGGUGACUUCCUACCACCCUUAAUGG
rnacentral:tRNA from 1 species